CUCCGUUUCACAAUGUAAGUCAUUCUAACAUUUCCCAUAUUCAUAUUGAUGUUAAUGAAUCUAGAUAGAUAUAUAUGUCUAGAUUCAUUAACAUCAAUAUGAAUGUGGGAAAUGCUAGAAUGACUUACAUUGUGAAACGG
rnacentral:misc_RNA from 1 species